rnacentral:rRNA from 1 species
GACGAACGCUGGCGGCGUGCUUAACACAUGCAAGUCGAACGGAAAGGCCCUGCUUUUGUUGGUUUCUCGAUCGGCGAACGGGUGAGUAACACGUGAGUAACCUGCCCUUGACUUUGGGAUAACUUCUGGAAACUGGGGCUAAUACCUGAUAGGAUCUCCUGCUGCAUGGUGGGGGUUGGAAAGUUUCGGCUGUUGGGGAUGGACUCGCGGCUUAUCAGCUUGUUUGUGGGGUAGUGGCUUACCAAGGCUUUGACGGGUAGCCGGCCUGAGAGGGUGACCGGCCACCUUGGGCCUGAGAUACGGCGCAGAAUCGUACGGGCGGCAGCAGUCGGGAAUAUUGCACAAUGGGCGGAAGCCUGAUGCAGCAACGCCGCGUGCGGGAUGACGGCCUUCGGGUUGUAAACAGAUUUCGAAUGUGACGAAGAGUGAGUGACGGUAAUGGGUAAAGAAGCCCCGGCUAACUACGUG